rnacentral:rRNA from 1 species
GACGAACGCUGGCGGCGUGCUUAACACAUGCAAGUCGAACGGAAAGGCCCUGCUUUUGUGGGGUGCUCGAGUGGCGAACGGGUGAGUAACACGUGAGUAACCUGCCCUUGACUUUGGGAUAACUUCAGGAAACUGGGGCUAAUACCGGAUAGGAGCUCCUGCUGCAUGGUGGGGGUUGGAAAGUUUCGGCGGUUGGGGAUGGACUCGCGGCUUAUCAGCUUGUUGGUGGGGUAGUGGCUUACCAAGGCUUUGACGGGUAGCCGGCCUGAGAGGGUGACCGGCAACAUGGGGACUGAGAGCAGCCCCAGCCUCCGCGGGGGGGAGGAGGGGGGGAAUAUUGAAGAGGGGGCGGAGGCUUGAGGCAGCACCGCCGGGGGGGGGAGGAGGGCUUUGGGGUGUAAAACCGCUUUCGCCUGUGACGAGGGGGGAGGGAGGGUAGUGGGUAAAGAAGCCCGGGCAAACUAGGUC